rnacentral:rRNA from 1 species
GACGAACGCUGGCGGCGUGCUUAACACAUGCAAGUCGAACGGAAAGGCCUUUUCGGAGGUACUCGAGUGGCGAACGGGUGAGUAACACGUGGGUGAUCUGCCCUGCACUCUGGGAUAAGCCUGGGAAACUGGGUCUAAUACCGGAUAGGACCGCACUUUAGUGUGUGUGGUGGAAAGGUUUUUCGGUGUAGGAUGAGCCCGCGGCCUAUCAGCUUGUUGGUGGGGUAAUGGCCUACCAAGGCGGCGACGGGUAGCCGGACUGAGAGGUUGGUCGGCCACAUUGGGACUGAGAUACGGCCCAGACUCCUACGGGAGGCAGCAGUGGGGAAUAUUGCACAAUGGGCGCAAGCCUGAUGCAGCGACGCCGCGUGGGGGAUGACGGCCUUCGGGUUGUAAACUCCUUUCGCCAGGGACGAAGCGUUUUGUGACGGUACCUGGAGAAGAAGCACCGGCUAACUACGUG